rfam:Stegodyphus mimosarum contig82163, whole genome shotgun sequence.
UCCUUCGUGGUGUAGUGGUCGGCACACUCGGCACGUAUUCCAGAGGUCCGUGGUUCGAAUCCCGGCAAGGGCA